AAUUAACCUGACAAGUUGGUAAAGGAAUUAUUAUUGAACAUCGUCGAGAAGCGUCAUUUUGUAAAUAAAGAAACGAACAAAGUGUCAGAUAUGUCAAGUACUACGCUCUCCAAAUUGCUUUACAUAUAAUUGAACACGCCAUCAAAGAGUUAAUUCACAUAAACGUGUUUAUUUACAAGGAUUUAAAGCAUAGAAAUACAUUACGAGAGAUGCAAGGUAAAAGAAAGAAACAGAAAAUCGCGUUUUCGACUCCAGAUAUUAAAGUUAAAUUGACGAACGCAUCAAUCUCAAGAAGCUCAAAUGCGCGACGCGAAUUUCUCGAGCUAAGGAAACCUCGAUGCUCAGGAUAAUGGUGAAGAAGCCUUAGAGAGUGCUAUGAACUACGCCAAGGCGAAGUUUGUGAAUGGCGCACUCAAAUAUGAAAUGGUUACUGGGGAAGGCUUGCUCAUGAAAUUUGUUCCGCUGGUAUGUAUGCCAGUAUCCCGGAAAACGUACAGACUGCAGGUUCACUCGCACUCAACAAAAUGAUGAUGAUGAGUUCUGAAUUUUGUGAAUAAUUUUUGCAACUUUUGAUCACCACAUUGGAGCGAUCGCCGCAUCCUGGAAUCCGAUCAAAUAUAUACUUAUCGGAUUAAAUGAUCUCGCUACUAUAAUCAGAUGAAACCAUGGUCGAAAUACAUCUACGACAAAUUUCGAGAUGAUAUGAACGUGCGUAGGACAUAAAUUCGUAUGUUGUCAAAUUUGAUAAUGAGAGAAAUGAUAUGCGUGAAGGCACAGAUUUCGGAAUUAGCCCUUUCCGUCAUCAAUGAGGAUGAACAGAUACGUUAGGAUAUGAAGAAAUUCUUCAUUCAAUUUUCUCAAAAAGGCAAUGUCUUAUACAAUAUAGUUCCGGAUAUAUUGUUGCGCUUAGUAGAUCUUCAAUUAGGAGAGGGGAAGGAAGAAGAGGAUGGAGAAGUGGAUCCAGACGCGGAGUGUGGAAGAGGGGAUCCACUUUUAAUAUUAAUGGAAACAAUAAAUUUUAAUAAAUAUUGACUAAUAAAAUAUA
rnacentral:lncRNA from 13 species